AUUGAACGCUGGCGGCAUGCUUUACACAUGCAAGUCGGACGGCAGCACAGAGAAGCUUGCUUCUUGGGUGGCGAGUGGCGAACGGGUGAGUAACAUAUCGGAACGUACCAAGUAAUGGGGGAUAACUAAUCGAAAGAUUAGCUAAUACCGCAUAUUCUCUGAGGAGGAAAGCAGGGGACCUUCGGGCCUUGCGUUAUUCGAGCGGCCGAUAUCUGAUUAGCUAGUUGGUGGGGUAAAGGCCUACCAAGGCAACGAUCAGUAGCGGGUCUGAGAGGAUGAUCCGCCACACUGGGACUGAGACACGGCCCAGACUCCUACGGGAGGCAGCAGUGGGGAAUUUUGGACAAUGGGCGCAAGCCUGAUCCAGCCAUGCCGCGUGUCUGAAGAGGGCCUUCGGGUUGUAAAGGACUUUUGUCAGGGAAGAAAA
rnacentral:rRNA from 1 species